UUUCUUGGUUUACCAAUCGCAAUGCUUGGUUCACCGUACAUCGUAUCGGAGGACAUCUUGGAUUACUGGGUAGCAGUUCGUGUAUCUACGUGAGAUUGCUACUGCGUAUAACAACGUAGAGUUGCAGUGGUGGCCGAUCGGUGUGCAUAACGGACCGAGAAUAAAUCCGAUAAUAUCGUAUUCGAAUGGACGAUGGUAAAUUGCAUAAUCUCGUUGGUGCAUCUCGGGCGAGCAGCGUCACGUACGCACUGAGAAGGCAGUUUAGCUUAUGUUAGAAGGAGAAUAUUCAAAGCGGCUUGAGUCCGUGAGAACUUUGUAAAGACCUGUAGCCAACGCAGGUGACGACGUCCACUCGCGAGAUCGGCGUAAUUUCAGUGGAGGUAAUUUUCCUCCUGGUGAUUGGUUGAUCGUAUGUGUUUUUUUGUUCCUACGGCGAUGAAGAGAACCAUGGUAGAAGGUAUAGAGGGUUUAUGGUACAAGAUAGUUGUAGUGGCCGCCGCUACUGGCGCUGCCGUCGCUCUCCGUCCUUCCUUCAGUAAACGCAAGUGCAAUGCAACGAGUUCGGUAAUUAUGCAUUCGAUCUUCCGAACGAUUCAUGCGUGGAGUGGAUCGGAUCGGUUCGAUCUUUACUUCUUUUUUUAUCCUUUAUAUACCAAUUAUUUAGUCUUUUUUCUAUUUCACCAUUCCUUUCCCUUUUCAGUAGCGUCAUUACAAGAUGUACGCAUUUACAUAGUACACGUAUAGCUAUAUAUAUCUAAAAAUAAGAGUGUAUAUUUUUUUGGUAUAGUUUAAUCCCGACCUGCUUGUAUUUAUUAGUGCAUUUUUCUAUCUGACAGAAAAAUACACACAAUACUUUCCACAGCCGGUAUUCGCCAUCCUUGCUGUCAAUACCUGUCGAAUAUAAUCAUACACUGCCAGAAAUAUGAUUGGGAAAGCAAUAAGUGUACACUGCGCGCUUUAUACACGGUGAGAAGCUAAAACGGUAGUAGUGUCACGAACAAAUGGAGACCUUGACUGUAUAGUACGGUAUGCUAGAGUAGAGUGGCACGUUCGAAAAAGUGAAAUCUAAAUAUCUAAGAGUCGCACAAGACGUACGAGCAGAUGGAGUGUAGUGCCUGCGAUCGCCACCCAAAGUGAGAGAGAAAACGCGUACACCAAUCUCGAUGGCAGUGGCCGUGUCGAUGGCAGUGGCAGUGGCGAUGCCCAGCCAAGAGAGAAUGUACGCAGUGGGCUAAAGCCCACCUCUUCGCUGCGUGUUUGCUUAGCACUUUUGGCUCGAGAGGAAACAAGGCGUAGGAUGCCUGUCUACCGUGGACUUUACGACUGCUGAAUAAAUUAUCGUACACAAUGAUCUUUGACUCAUUGAAUAGUUUCGUAAACACGUAUAGAGCUACGGGGACGAAACAUCAUCGAAUUAACAUGUAAGAUAAGCUACCAGAGUUUAAUGGGAAAUUGACGGCUGCCCGAGGAACGUUAAGGUAAAGUUGUGCCAUCUUCUUGUACAAGCUUUACGUACCAAUUAACUCCAUGCUAAUUGUUUCUGUACAGAAUACACUAGCGGUGUCAAUAUUUAUUUGUAGAAGGUACCAAAAGCCUCUUUUUACCACCUAUUUUAUGGGAAUGACUUUGUGGUUUGGAUAAGACAUAAAAAUGUACUGUGGCAUUUUGUCUCUUUUUUUCGUCUUCUUCCUUCGUUCGUUG